GAUGAACGCUGGCGGCGUGCUUAACACAUGCAAGUCGAACGAGGUAUCCGCAAGGGUAUCUAGUGGCGAAUGGGUGAGUAACACGUAGGGAUCUGCCCUCCAGUGGGAAUAACGCCGCGAAAGCGGUGCUAAUACCGCACGUGACCGCCUUCGGGCGGGGAAAGCUGGGCAACCGGCGCUGGAGGAGGGACCUGCGGCCCAUCAGCUAGUUGGUAGGGUAACGGCCUACCAAGGCGACGACGGGUAGGGGGCCUGAGAGGGUGGUCCCCCACACUGGCACUGACACACGGGCCAGACUCCUACGGGAGGCAGCAGUGAGGAAUAUUGCCCAAUGGACGCAAGUCUGAGGCAGCAACGCCGCGUGGAGGAUGAAGGUUUUCGGAUCGUAAACUCCUUUUAGGGGGAAGAGCAAGGACGGUACCCCCGGAAUCAGUCACGGCUAACUACGUGCCAGCCGCCGCGGUAAU
rnacentral:rRNA from 1 species